AUACGGAGGAUCCGAGCGUUAUCCGGAUUUAUUGGGUUUAAAGGGAGCGUAGGCGGGAGCUUAAGUCAGCGGUUAAAUGGUGCGGCUCAACCGUGCCCUGCCGUUGAAACUGGGUUUCUUGAGAGUGCAAGAGGCGGAUGGAAUUCAUGGGGUAGCGGUGAAAUGCUUAGAUAUCAUGAAGAACUCCGAUUGCGAAGGCAGUCCGCUGGGGCACGUCUGACGCUGAUGCUCGAAGGUGCGGGAAUCAAACAGGAUUAGAUACCCUGGUAGUCCGCACGGUAAACGAUGAUUACCCGCUGUCGGCGGCAGACAGUCGGCGGCCAAGCGAAAGCGAUAAGUAAUCCACCUGGGGAGUACGCCGGCAACGGUGAAACUCAAAUGAAUUGACGGGG
rnacentral:rRNA from 1 species